AAUAAGUGUGAAGAUGAGAUUGAGAGGGAAGAUGAGAGGGAGGAGUAACAAAAAUGAAAACUGAAUUCUAUUUGAAAUUGUUUUCACUUUCAAGUUUUUAUUUUCACUUUUAUUACUUCUCAUUCCCCUCCUCUCUCAACCUCACUCCCAUUCUCACUCU
rnacentral:miRNA from 1 species